rnacentral:rRNA from 1 species
GUUAUAUGGUCAAGCGAAUAAGCGCACACGGUGGAUGCCUUGGCGGUCAGAGGCGAUGAAGGACGUGGCAGCCUGCGAAAAGUAUCGGGGAGCUGGCAACAAGCUUUGAUCCGGUAAUGUCCGAAUGGGGAAACCCACCCGCUUGCGGGUAUCCUGCAGUGAAUACAUAGCUGCUGGAAGCGAACCUGGUGAACUGAAAUAUCUAAGUAACCAGAGGAAAAGAAAUCAACCGAGAUUCCGUAAGUAGCGACGAGCGAACGCGGACUAGCCCUUAAGCUGGAUUGGUUCUAGGAAAACGCUCUGGAAAGAGCGGCCAUAGAAGGUGAUAGCCCUGUAUCUGAAAGGGCCAUUCCAGUGAAGACGAGUAGGGCGGGGCACGUGAAACCCUGUCUGAACAUGGGGGGACCAUCCUCCAAGGCUAAAUACUACUGACCGACCGAUAGUGAACCAGUACCGUGAGGGAAAGGCGAAAAGAACCCCGGAGAGGGGAGUGAAAUAGAACCUGAAACCGUGUGCGUACAAGCAGUAGGAGCUCCGCAAGGAGUGACUGCGUACCUUUUGUAUAAUGGGUCAGCGACUUACUGUUCGUGGCAAGCUUAACCGUAUAGGGGAGGCGAAGGGAAACCGAGUCUGAUAAGGGCGCAUAGUCGCGGGCAGUAGACCCGAAACCGGGUGAUCUAGUCAUGCCCAGGGUGAAGGUGCGGUAACACGCACUGGAGGCCCGAACCCACUCCCGUUGCAAAGGUAGGGGAUGAGGUGUGAUUAGGAGUGAAAAGCUAAUCGAACCCGGAGAUAGCUGGUUCUCCUCGAAAGCUAUUUAGGUAGCGCCUCAUAUGUAUCCUCUCGGGGGUAGAGCACUGUUAUGGCUAGGGGGUCAUCGCGACUUACCAAACCAUUGCAAACUCCGAAUACCGAGACGGACUGUAUGGGAGACACACGGCGGGUGCUAACGUCCGUCGUGAAAAGGGAAACAACCCAGACCCACAGCUAAGGUCCCAAAUUCACUGCUAAGUGGAAAACCAUGUGGAAAGGCACAGACAGCCAGGAGGUUGGCUUAGAAGCAGCCACCCUUUAAAGAAAGCGUAAUAGCUCACUGGUCGAGUCGGUCUGCGGGGAAGAUUUAACGGGGCUAAGCAGUGAACCGAAGCUUGGGGUGCAUACUUUGUAUGCGCGGUAGAGGAGCGUUCCGUAAGCCGUUGAAGGUGGAUUGAGAAGUCUGCUGGAGGUAUCGGAAGUGCGAAUGCUGACAUGAGUAACGAUAAUGCGGGUGAAAAACCCGCACGCCGAAAGCCCAAGGUUUCCUUGCGCAACGUUAAUCGGCGCAGGGUGAGUCGGCCCCUAAGGCGAGGACGAAAGUCGUAGUCGAUGGGAAGCAGGUUAAUAUUCCUGCACCUCGCGUAAGUGCGAUGGAGGGACGGAGAAGGUUAGGUGUACCAGGCGUUGGUUGUCCUGGGGAAAGGCGGUAGGUUUGGAUCUUUGGCAAAUCCGGGAUCCUUUAAGACCGAGCACCGAGACGAGCCUUUAUGGCGAAGUCACUGAUACCACGCUUCCAGGAAAAGCUCCUAAGCUUCAGCUUACGCAGACCGUACCGUAAACCGACACAGGUGGGUAGGAUGAGAAUUCUCAGGCGCUUGAGAGAACUCGGGUGAAGGAACUAGGCAACAUGGCACCGUAACUUCGGGAGAAGGUGCACCCUUUUUGGUGGCUCGUGCGAGCUAUAGCUGAAGAGGGUCGCAGUAACCAGGCCGCUGCGACUGUUUAUCAAAAACACAGCACUCUGCAAACACGAAAGUGGACGUAUAGGGUGUGACGCCUGCCCGGUGCUGGAAGGUUAAUUGAUGGGGUCAGCCGCAAGGCGAAGCUCUUGAUCGAAGCCCCAGUAAACGGCGGCCGUAACUAUAACGGUCCUAAGGUAGCGAAAUUCCUUGUCGGGUAAGUUCCGACCUGCACGAAUGGCGUAACGACAGCGGCGCUGUCUCCACCCGAGACUCAGUGAAAUUGAAAUCGCUGUGAAGAUGCAGCGUUCCCGUGGCAAGACGGAAAGACCCCGUGAACCUUUACUAUAGCUUUACACUGAACGUUGAGUUCGUCUGUGUAGGAUAGGUGGGAGGCUAUGAAACUGUGGCGCUAGCUGCAGUGGAGCCAUCCUUGAAAUACCACCCUGUCGUGCUUGACGUUCUAACCUGGGCCCAUUAUCUGGGUCGGGGACCGUGUAUGGUGGGUAGUUUGACUGGGGCGGUCUCCUCCUAAAGAGUAACGGAGGAGCUCGAAGGUACGCUCAGCGCGGUCGGACAUCGCGCACUGUGUGCAAAGGCAUAAGCGUGCUUGACUGCAAGAUCGACGGAUCAAGCAGGUAGGAAACUAGGACUUAGUGAUCCGGUGGUUCUGUAUGGAAGGGCCAUCGCUCAACGGAUAAAAGGUACUCCGGGGAUAACAGGCUGAUACCGCCCAAGAGUUCAUAUCGACGGCGGUGUUUGGCACCUCGAUGUCGGCUCAUCACAUCCUGGGGCUGUAGUCGGUCCCAAGGGUAUGGCUGUUCGCCAUUUAAAGUGGUACGCGAGCUGGGUUCAGAACGUCGUGAGACAGUUCGGUCCCUAUCUGCCAUGGGCGUUGGAGAUUUGAGAGGGGCUGCUCCUAGUACGAGAGGACCGGAGUGGACGAACCUCUGGUGUUCCGGUUGUCACGCCAGUGGCAUUGCCGGGUAGCUAUGUUCGGAAGCGAUAACCGCUGAAAGCAUCUAAGCGGGAAGCGCGCCUCAAGAUGAGAUCUCCCGGGGCACAAGCCCCCUGAAGGAACCAUGUAGACUACGUGGUUGAUAGGUCAGGUGUGUAAGUACAGCAAUGUAUUGAGCUAACUGAUACUAAUGAUCCGUGCGGCUUGACCAUAUAACCU